rnacentral:rRNA from 1 species
UACGGGGGGAGCAAGCGUUGUUCGGAUUUACUGGGCGUAAAGGGCGCGUAGGCGGUCGUGACAAGUCACUUGUGAAAUCUCCGGGCUUAACUCGGAACGGUCAAGUGAUACUGUCGGACUAGAGUACAGAAGGGGCAACUGGAAUUCUCGGUGUAGCGGUGAAAUGCGUAGAUAUCGAGAGGAACACCUGCGGCGAAGGCGGCAUCCUGGACCAACAUUGACGCUGAGGAGCGAAAGCCAGGGGAGCAAACGGG